AGCAUGUGGUAAAGAGGAUAGGAUUAAAAUUUUGUCCGAACCUCAUAUUGUAACCAAUUCCAACUAUCAACAGGAAAGAAACAGUAAAUAUUUACUCUUAUCUAAACAUUAAAAGAAGGCAGAACUAACAAGAAAGCACAAAGGAGAUUUUAAGCAUAAAGUGUGAUUACCAAAUCCCCAAUUCCCGUGAGAGAUAGUUGAUACAUAUCUGUAUAUAAACAAAAAGGUUCAAACGCAGUUCAAAAUCCGUGCUAUUGUAUGCUUGCUCUUUGAGCUAAAGAUAAUUUUUGCUCAUGACAAGCAAGUCUAAGGCGAUCUUCAAUUUGCUCCUUCACGGAAGCUCAUAAGUUGGAACCAAGCUUACAAGAUCUGGUAAAUGAUACAGUGACAGCUUUAGUAAAAUGUGAAAUGUUAGGCAUAAAAGUUGCAGCAGUAUUGUAGUCACAUACUUAACCAUAAGCAAGGAACAAACUUCCUUGCAGAGUUAGUCGAUCUAUGUGCAGCUCAUAAGAGCAAAAUUGUUCCAAGGAAAAAAAAAAAGCACUGUGAAAACAAGAAACUAUUAUUGCAUUUCCAAAAAUCUAAACAAUUGAAGCAUGUUUUACAGCAAGAUAAAGCAUCAUUCUCCUUGUCUACAAGUAUGAUCUUUUUCUCUGCAAUGUGAGUAGGGAAGGCCUGCAACUGUGUUUAGUCCCUUCAAUAUAUCAUAUUUGCAAUAGUUGCACAAAGGCAAUCAAGAGCCUGAAUCUCACACUGCAAAUCCCAUCCCCAAAAUUUUUCUUUUGCCCAGGAAAUUACAUUUGAAAGUUUCUUAUCCUCUAAUCAUGACUAUAUUAAAUUCCAAUUCAACACAUCAUCUUUUAGCUACUAAUUAGAAUCCACCACAGAAAAAGAGGAAGUAACAAAACCUCCAGAAAAUUAAUGUAAAAUUCCUCUAUUUCAAUAACAUUCUUUUCCAAAUUUCCCAAAAAAAUUUUGAGAAAAAACCAUAGAAAAUCUCUCCAUGCAACCUGGAUAAGCAAGUAAGAGGAAACCUGCUGUCCUAAAUCCUUUGACUUCUUUCUUAAAUCCAAACAAUAUCAAAAGUUCAUCAUCUUUUCUCUUCUAAGCUAACUACUAGCUAAAAGCUAAAAAUAAUAUGCAAACCUAGUUGGUUCAAUGAUUUUUUUUUUUCCAAAUUUGCAAUAGCUUGAACUGAAUAUAUCAUAUUUCUUCAACAAUACAGAGGGUAUAUCAUUAUAAAGCAGGGCAGUCAUAAAAUAUACAAUAGCAUAUGGAUAUUGCUAUGUACUUUCCAAUCUUGCUAGCACAGAUGCUUUCCUCAAUGCAAAGGCCAUGUUUUUUCUACUUUUGUUUUUUUUUCAGAUAUGAAAGCUCUCAGCUUAUAGAAUGUCCAUGCUUUUUCAACUCUUAAUACCAUAAGAAACAGAAGAGGAAAAGAGAAUGCAGAGCUAUCCUAAGUGAUAGCUUAUCAUUGUUGAAGUUCAAUGAUCAACUAACUUCAAAAACUCCAGCAACAUUAUAACAACAGAAAAGUCAAAAUGUGCCUAAUAAAUCCGAAAUUGCUGUAAUUUAAAACAAUUAUAAAGCUGCAACUGAGCUCAUGUUGGUACUGAACUUGACUAGUAUAAGUUCACUUAAUUUUCAUCGAUGGGAAAUUGCAUUAGAAGUAUAGUAGUCGACUCUAAUGAAAUCAUAUGACCCUUUAACUAAUUGUUCUACUCAUGCAUGAAUCUUGGAAGCACAGCUCUCACAAAAGCCGCAAUGAUGAACUGAUAGUCACCAAUAAUUUUGCAAUCCUAUUAUUUAUAUUAAAAAAUAGAGUGAAUUUAAUAAUGGAAAAAUCAUACAAUUACACCACACCUUCCUUUGAAUUUUAAGCUUUAUCAACAUACCAAAGUAAAGUUGGGAAAUUAGUAAAAUAAUGCUUGAAAAGGCUUAGUAUUCAAUGCCAAGGGGGAGGAUUGGUACCAUGGCUACAACCCAGUUGCAUGCAAGUGAGGGAAACUAUUACAUUUGUUCCAAUCUCAGAUCUGCCUUCCGAGUUGCCCUGCCAUGAAAUGGGUCCACAACCUCCAUGCCUCAUUCGUAAACCACAACAAAAAUAACACCAUAGCCUACAUUAUGAAUUUUGCUAUAACAGAUUCCAUGAGAGUCGGUUUGGAUAUAGAAUUUUUGUUGGAUUUGGAGGGUGAAAGGGAAGAGGAAAAUUUCUCAAAGGAAUAAACUCAUUAAGAGGACAGAAGGACAGAAAGGAUGGUGAAAGCAAGGGGCGGGCGCACAGAGAGGAUAACGGAGAAUGCAAAGAAGUUACUCGGUGAGUCCAGAGAAAUGAGAAUUAGGCAGCUGCUGC
rnacentral:lncRNA from 1 species